AGACAGCUACAGUGUACUCAUAUAUGUGUGUGUGUGUGUGUGUGUGUGUGUGUGUGUAUGUAUAUACACACACAUAGAUACACACAUACAUAUAUGUACACAUAUAUA
ensembl:miRNA Gm22859 predicted gene, 22859